rnacentral:rRNA from 1 species
AGACAGUACCUAAGGAGGAAGCUCCGGCUAACUACGUGCCAGCAGCCGCGGUAAUACGUAGGGAGCAAGCGUUAUCCGGAUUUAUUGGGUGUAAAGGGUGCGUAGACGGGAAAUUAAGUUAGUUGUGAAAUCCCUCGGCUUAACUGAGGAACUGCAACUAAAACUGGUUUUCUUGAGUGCAGGAGAGGAAAGAGGAAUUCCUAGUGUAGCGGUGAAAUGCGUAGAUAUUAAGAGGAACACCAGUGGCGAAGGCGUCUUUCUGGACUGUAACUGACGUUGAGGCACGAAAGUGUGGGGAGCAAACAGGAUUAGAUACCCUG